rnacentral:rRNA from 1 species
UACGAGUGGCCCGAGCGUUAAUCGGAAUCACUGGGCUUAAAGGGUGCGCAGGCGGGCCGGCAGGCAUCUCGUGAAAUCCCCCGGCUCAACCGGGGAACUGCGGGGUGAACCGCCGGGCUUGAGGCAGGUAGGGGCUGACGGAACCAUGAGUGGAGCGGUGAAAUGCGUAGAUAUUCAUGGGAACGCGGAUGGGGAAGCCGGUCAGCUGGGCCUGUCCUGACGAUCAGGCACGAAAGCGUGGGGAGCAAACAGG